GACCUUACUAUCAGCUUUAACCCAACUUACACAUGCAAGUCUCCGCAAUCCCGUGAGUAUGCCCUCAAUCCCCCACCCGGGGACAAGGAGCGGGCAUCAGGCACAAAUUUUAGCCCAAAACGCCUAGCCAAGCCACACCCCCAAGGGAAUUCAGCAGUGAUAGACAUUAAGCUAUAAGUGAAAACUUGACUCAGUCAGGGUUAAGAGGGCCGGUAAAACUCGUGCCAGCCACCGCGGUUAAACGAGAGGCCCUAGUUGAUAUUAUUACGGCGUAAAGGGUGGUUAAGGAAAUAAAAGUCAAUAAAGCCAAAUGGCCCUUUGGCCGUCAUACGCUUCUAGGUGUCCGAAGUCCGACCACACGAAAGUAGCUUUAGUAAACCCACCUGACCCCACGAAAGCUGAG
rnacentral:rRNA from 1 species